rnacentral:snRNA from 1 species
GUGACCACUUUGGCAGCACGUCUACUAAAAUUGGAACAAUACAGAGAUUAGCAUGGCUGUUGUGCAAGGAUGACAUGCACAUUCGUGAAAUGUUCUGUAUAUUU